UACGUAGGUGGCAAGCGUUUGUUCGGAAUUAUUGGGCGUAAAGGGCGCGUAGGCGGUUUGUUAAGUCGGCUGUGAAAGCCCGGGGCUCAACCCCGGAGGGUCAGCCGAUACUGGCAGACUAGAGUACGGAAGAGGUAGCUGGAAUUCCCGGUGUAGCGGUGAAAAUGCGCAGAUAUCAGGAGGAACACCGGUGGCGAAGGCGGGGUCUCUGGGGCCGAUACUGACGCUGAGGAGCGAAAAGCGUGGGGGGAGCAAAACAGG
rnacentral:rRNA from 1 species